CAGUAAAAUGGCACAAUUGUCAAUACUGAUAUUCGUCGCAAAUGACAAUGUCUUACUCUGCCCAUAUGCAUUCUGAUAACAUAUGACAUCAUUGGAGUUAAAAACAUUUGGGUGGAGACAUUAAGGAGCUCAAAUCAGAGACUUCAUUAAUCAUAGAAUGCUGUAUAUAAUGUGCACAUAAUGUGCUUAAUUAUUGUGGUUGUCCCACCUAGCUAUCUUAAGAUGAAUGCACAGAGGUGCUCUGGAUAAGAAUGUCUGCUAAAUGAAUAAAAUGUCAUGUAAUUGUAAAUGAUAAAACAUGAGUAUUGCUUGCUACAAUAUUUCCUAUAUUAAGAGUGUCAAAUACUGUAGUUGUAUGUGAAGAUGUGUAAUGCUUUAUGAGUAUAGUAAAGUUGUACAACGCUGUGUGGAGCUGUAUGAGUGGUUCUGUUAGUGCAGGGUGUGCUCACUCUUGUGUGAAGGAGGUUGUUGUACGGCGUCUUAACUAGACUGUAUCACUGUGGUACACGUUCGGUGGAGGGACCAAACUGCUGCUGAGAACUGGUCCUACUGUCAGUCCCACGGUGUCUCUGCUCCCCCCCUCCUCUGAGCAGCUCUCUGGAGGCUCUGCCUCACUGGCCUGCCUGCUGACUGACUACUCCCCUCAGGGGGCGCUGGUGAGCUGGGAGGUGGACGGGCUGGAGGUGAGCCAGGGGGUCGUGACCAGUCCAGAAGAAGAGAAGGAAGGCCUUUACAGACGCAGCAGCAUCCUGACCCUGAGCAAGGCAGGCUGGGAGCAGGGAGAGCUCUACACCUGCAGGGUCUCCCACUUCCAACACACCCAGGCCUCCCCCCUUCGUAGGAGCCAGUGUCUGGUCUAGGACCUACUGGAGGAGGCCCACAACAGGAGCUCUGUCUGGGGAAGCAGGAGUAGACGAGGCUCUGGUCUGGUCUGGGGCCUGGUUGGAGCAGUAGUAGUGUGUUAGAGUGUUAGAGUAGUGUACUGAGUAAACUCUAGUACUGCCGGGGAGACCACAUCCUGGGUAGUAAUGUGUAUUGUAUAGAUUACCGGAGACUUCAAUGUGUUCUGUACUCAGACUGUUACUGUGAUGUUGCUGUCUGCCUCAGUUCUAAUAAAGUUGGAUUUGGAAAAUAACA